UACGUAGGGUGCAAGCGUUAAUCGGAAUUACUGGGCGUAAAGCGUGCGCAGGCGGUUGUGCAAGACCGAUGUGAAAUCCCCGGGCUUAACCUGGGAAUGGCAUUGGUGACUGCACGGCUAGAGUGUGUCAGAGGGGGGGUAGAAUUCCACGUGUAGCAGUGAAAAUGCGUAGAGAUGUGGAGGAACACCCGAUGGCGAAGGCAGCCCCCUGGGUCAAGAUUGACGCUCAUGCACGAAAGCGUGGGG
rnacentral:rRNA from 1 species